UAUCAGUGAGUUGAAGUAGUUUUAAAUUGGAAUCUAAUCUUAAUUUUGUCCUUCUUUGCAGCAAUGUAUUGUGCUGAACGCUUUUUGGAAAUUCGCUUUAGUUCUUUAUUCCGUGUAGCUAGGCUCACUGUCAAGAGACUGGGGCCACCUCAAACAGCAAAUUUUGGCAUCCUGUUGUGGGUGAAAAGCAAAGUAGAUAUUUUAAUCACAAAUGGUUAAUCAUAAAGGAAGCACCGUUCAACCAAAAACUCAUAGUCAAAUUUGCUCAGCAUUAAAACUGAAGGACACAAACCAUGUAGAUCUACCUGUAUAAAGACGAAUACACUAAUAUUCAUGGAGUCUUGGAACCCAAGCUUUGCAAAAACCACUAUAUUGAUGACGUUGGUUACGAUGCCCAUCAAACUGAGAAGUCCAGAGAUGACCACGAAGUUGACUACUUCUGAGACUCCCCGCUCUUCGCUACUGACUAAAGGUUGCAGUGUUCAAGACUUGGUUAAAUGAAUGGUGCGAAAACCAGUAACUAACACCUCCUUCACAUUGCAAAUUCAUCCCCGAAACAUGAGAACUGGCUGCUGAAGAUGAAGAAAAAGGUUUGUCUUCUUUGUCUACAAGAUGCCUGCGUUGUGAAUCAAAUCGGUACUCCCCAUGCACAUUUUCAUCUGGGCACCUGGUUGAAUUCUUUCGUUGUGAAAUGGAAUUAACAAUAAAUGUCAUAUAUCUAUUUUGUUUAGCAGAAGCAGACUACGAAAAUAAACGAAAGUCGAACAUAGACACUUUCCAUGUGUUUUGCAAGAGGGAAUAAAACUGAAACUUAAUUUUAUAGUGGACUUCAGAAGAAUGUUUCUUGUUGAAACUUACCGCUCUCUAUCCGACGUACCCUUUUGCUGUCUUUUUUUGUUCUAAAUGCUU